AGGACUGAGACCAGCCACUUAGCUGCCACUGAGGAUGAACACAGACUUUAAUCAUUGUUUGGGCAGGGACUGGAGAACCUUGCUGCACUGGACCUGAACUACUAUUGUUGGAUCUGAAAUGUCAGAAAAUAGGCUUUCUAUCUGUCACCUAAAGGAACAGUUACUCCCAGCGCGAGGACAAGACAAAGAGAAACUGUGAUUAAAAAGAGGAAGAAUAAAGUAAGAUGAGC